ACCUUUUCAUUCUCCAGCAGUUUUCAGUUAGAGACAUCCAAUGAACUCAGAAGUAUUCUAUAAAAUCUAUUGUAUGGAGUCACAGAAAUUUUGAAUAUCUGUGUCUAUUGACUGAUGGUUUGCCAGGGAGGCUAAUUUCAGGCGACUUUCUAUUUCUGUCAGAACUGCUGUUUUGUGCAGGCUGACCUCAGGGCAUUCAAUAAUUAUGUGACUGAAGUGGCCAUUCUUCAUACGUUUUCCUUCAGUAAUGUCUCUACAUAUUAGUAAUGCCAUGCACAAAAGAGUAGCGCGCAGUGUUUUUAACCUACAGCAUUCAUCAUUAAAAAUCGAGAGCUCUUUGUUACCAUUCAGUCCCACUGUUGUUGGAGGCAUUCCUAUCACUGAUCCAAAUCAGAAUACACGUUUGUCCCCAGGGCAGUGCCAGUUAUGGUGCGACUGGGAUGGCGGUGUGCAGGGUGGGAGGGAAGCACAGGCAUCCCGCAGCCUCCUCACUGCCAUGUCCCACUCUGAUGGGAAGUAGCACCUAUCCCAAUACUUCAUAUGCUUCACUCUUCUUCUUUUGCUUCCUCUACAUCCCAUGCCAGGAAGGACUCAGGCCCUUAACAUUUUUUUCUGAAUGUUUAAUUUUACUGACACAAGUACUAUAAAUAGAGCACUCUUCUACUACAGUUGACUUGGACAGAGACUGAAACAUAGAGAUAAAUAACCUGCAUUUGAAACAAAAUGUGCUUACAAGGCAAGGCCAAAUCAAACAUUACUGAGUAAAGAAGAAAAACUACAAAGUGAGGAGAAAUUAAUUACAACUCUUCACACUGUGGGAAGCAUCCAAGUAUAAUUCAUGUUAAGCCAAUGGAAACAUGAAAAGCAAAUGAAGUCAAAGUAUUCAGGGCUUGUUUUUGGAGGAUCUGGAGUAUUUCUUGUCACAUAGGCACUUAUAAUUUUAUGGUUGCAUGUUUGAAUUUACUGUGGUACUUUGUAAUAAACUUAAACACUAAAUUUUCCUU
ensembl:lncRNA